rnacentral:rRNA from 1 species
GAUGAACGCUGGCGGCGUGCUUAACACAUGCAAGUCGAACGAAGCACUUUAUUUGAUUUCCUUCGGGACUGAUUAUUUUGUGACUGAGUGGCGGACGGGUGAGUAACGCGUGGGUAACCUGCCUUGUACAGGGGGAUAACAGUUGGAAACGGCUGCUAAUACCGCAUAAGCGCACAGCAUCGCAUGAUGCAGUGUGAAAAACUCCGGUGGUAUAAGAUGGACCCGCGUUGGAUUAGCUAGUUGGUGAGGUAACGGCCCACCAAGGCGACGAUCCAUAGCCGACCUGAGAGGGUGACCGGCCACAUUGGGACUGAGACACGGCCCAAACUCCUACGGGAGGCAGCAGUGGGGAAUAUUGCACAAUGGGCGGAAGCCUGAUGCAGCGACGCCGCGUGAGCGAAGAAGUAUUUCGGUAUGUAAAGCUCUAUCAGCAGGGAAGAUAAUGACGGUACCUGACGAAGAAGCACCGGCUAAAUACGUG